rnacentral:rRNA from 1 species
UACAGAGGUCUCAAGCGUUGUUCGGAUUCAUUGGGCGUAAAGGGUGCGUAGGCGGCGCGGUAAGUCGGGUGUGAAAUCUUGGAGCUUAACUCCGAAACUGCAUUCGAUACUGCCGUGCUUGAGGACUGGAGAGGAGACUGGAAUUUACGGUGUAGCGGUGAAAUGCGUAGAUAUCGUAAGGAAGACCAGUGGCGAAGGCGGGUCUCUAGUACGGUCCUGACGCUGAGGAGCGAAAGUGUGGGGAGCGAACAGG